rnacentral:rRNA from 1 species
AGCGAACGCUGGCGGCAGGCCUAACACAUGCAAGUCGAACGAAGUCUUCGGACUUAGUGGCGGACGGGUGAGUAACACGUGGGAACGUGCCUUUAGGUUCGGAAUAACUCAGGGAAACUUGUGCUAAUACCGAAUGUGCCCUUCGGGGGAAAGAUUUAUCGCCUUUAGAGCGGCCCGCGUCUGAUUAGCUAGUUGGUGAGGUAAAGGCUCACCAAGGCUACGAUCAGUAGCUGGUCUGAGAGGAUGACCAGCCACAUUGGAACUGAGACACGGCCCAAACUCCUACGGGAGGCAGCAGUGGGGAAUCUUGCGCAAUGGGCGAAAGCCUGACGCAGCCAGGCCGCGUGGAUGAUGAAGGUCUUAGGAUUGUAAAAUCCUUUCACCGGUGAAGAUAAUGACUGUAGCCGGAGAAGAAGCCCCGGCUAACUUCGUGCCAGCCGCCGCCGUAAAAC